GACAGUGUGGCAUAGUGGUUUGAGUAUUGGACUAUGACUCUGGAGCCAGGGUUCGAUUCUCAGCUCUGGCA
rnacentral:tRNA from 1 species